GACGAACGCUGGCGGCGUGCCUAAUACAUGCAAGUAGAACGCUGAGGUUUGGUGUUUACACUAGACUGAUGAGUUGCGAACGGGUGAGUAACGCGUAGGUAACCUGCCUCAUAGCGGGGGAUAACUAUUGGAAACGAUAGCUAAUACCGCAUAAGAGUAAUUAACACAUGUUGGUUAUUUAAAAGGAGCAAUUGCUUCACUGUGAGAUGGACCUGCGUUGUAUUAGCUAGUUGGUGAGGUAAAGGCUCACCAAGGCGACGAUACAUAGCCGACCUGAGAGGGUGAUCGGCCACACUGGGACUGAGACACGGCCCAGACUCCUACGGGAGGCAGCAGUAGGGAAUCUUCGGCAAUGGACGGAAGUCUGACCGAGCAACGCCGCGUGAGUGAAGAAGGUUUUCGGAUCGUAAAGCUCUGUUGUUAGAGAAGAACGUUGGUAGGAGUGGAAAAUCUACCAAGUGACGGUAACUAACCAGAAAGGGACGGCUAAUUACGUGCCAGCAGCCGCGGUAAUACGUAAGGUCCGAGCGUUGUCCGGAAUCAUUGGGCGUAAAGGGUACGUAGGCGGGUAAGCAAGUUAGAAGUGAAAUCCUAUAGCUCAACUAUAGUAAGCUUUUAAAACUGCUCAUCUUGAGGUAUGGAAGGGAAAGUGGAAUUCCUAGUGUAGCGGUGAAAUGCGCAGAUAUUAGGAGGAAUACCGGUGGCGAAGGCGACUUUCUGGCCAUAACCUGACGCUGAGGUACGAAAGCGUGGGUAGCAAACAGGAUUAGAUACCCUGGUAGUCCACGCCGUAAACGAUGAGUGUUAGGUGUCUGGAGUAAAUCUGGGUGCCGCAGCUAACGCAUUAAACACUCCGCCUGGGGAGUACGCGCGCAAGCGUGAAACUCAAAGGAAUUGACGGGGACCCGCACAAGCAGCGGAGCAUGUGGUUUAAUUCGACGCAACGCGAAGAACCUUACCAAGUCUUGACAUAUUACGGCGGAACUUAGAGAUAAGUUCUUAUGACUUCGGUCAACUGUAAUACAGGUGGUGCAUGGUUGUCGUCAGCUCGUGUCGUGAGAUGUUGGGUUAAGUCCCAUAACGAGCGCAACCCCUAUUGUUAGUUACCAUCAUUAAGUUGGGGACUCUAACGAUACUGCCGGUGACAAACCGGAGGAAGGUGGGGACGACGUCAAAUCAUCAUGCCCUUUAUGACUUGGGCUACACACGUGCUACAAUGGCAGGUACACAGAGCAGCUAAACAGUGACGUCUUGCGAAUCUCAAAAAGCCUGUCCCAGUUCGGAUUGUACUCUGCAACUCGAGUACAUGAAGUUGGAGUUGCUAGUAAUCGUGAAUCAGAAUGUCGCGGUGAAUGCGUUCCCGGGUCU
rnacentral:rRNA from 1 species